rnacentral:rRNA from 1 species
GACGAACGCUGGCGGCGUGCUUAACACAUGCAAGUCGAACGAAGUGGCGAACGGGUGAGUAACGCGUAAUCAACCUGCCCUUCAGAGGGGGACAACAGUUGGAAACGACUGCUAAUACCGCAUACAGAAGGAGGGGAUUGCGGCUGAUGUGCUAGUUGGGGGGGUAACGGCCCACCAAGGCGAUGAUCAGUAGCCGGGCUUAGAGGAGUAACGGCAACAUUGGGACUGAGACACGGCCGAGACUCCUACGGGAGGCAGCAGUGGGGAAGUUUCCGGAAUGGACGAAAGUCUGACGGAGCAACGCCGCGUGAGUGAUGACGGCCUUCGGGUUGUAAAGCUCUGUUAAUCGGGACGCGGUACCGGAAUAGAAAGCCACGGCUAACUACGUGCCAGCAGCCGCGGUAAUUC